rnacentral:rRNA from 1 species
UUCAUGGAGAGUUUGAUCCUGGCUCAGGACGAACGCUGGCGGCGUGCUUAACACAUGCAAGCUGAACGGGAUCUUAUGAAGG